rnacentral:rRNA from 1 species
UACGUAGGGGGCAAGCGUUGUCCGGAUUUAUUGGGCGUAAAGAGCUCGUCGGCGGUUGGGCAAGUCACGUGUGAAAUCUCCACGCUCAACGUGGAGGCGCCACGUGAGACUGCCCUGACUCGAGUCCGGUAGGGGAGCGUGGAAUUCCCGGUGUAGCGGUGAAAUGCGCAGAGAUCGGGAGGAACACCCGUAGCGAAGGCGGCGCUCUGGGCCGGUACUGACGCUGAGGAGCGAAAGCGUGGGGAGCAAACAGG